GGAAGGGAGAGGAAGAGAAAGAUAGAAACAUCAGUGAUGAGAGAGAAUCAUUGAUUGGCUGCCUCCUGCAUGACCCGCACUGAGGAUCAAGCCUGCAACCUGGGAAUCGACCAAUGACCUGUCAAUGCUCACCAAGCCACACUGGCCAGGUCUUUCCCCUGCCCAGCUUUCUUGAGGCUCUUAAAGAUCCUUCCAGAUCAGUGCAAAGAUCUACCUCUUUCUCAUUGAACAGCUGGGAACAUUCUGUAUUCCAUUGCAUUUGGGACACCCUACAAGGCAUUUCACUGUCUCCUGCUGGAGUUCCUAUUCUCUGUUUCAAACAACACUGUGAUGAUUAUCCUUGUACAUUCAGUUUUCACCCUGUUGGGAAGGUGCUAUUUCAGUUUUGAUAGGCACUGCUAGCGUGUCCCCUGCAGAUGGUGACUUUUAUAAUAGUAAGCUCCCUCUUUAAUCUAUGAGCAGGCAGUCAUCGGUGGUGCCAGCUUACUAGAAGUUUGCAUUUGAUGAACCCAAGGUGAGAAGUUUCUUUUUCCCAGAGAGCAAUUGCGCCUGUACUAUUUCAUGUAGCAAAGUGGCUUACAGCCCAGAUGUUGGAGACAGACUGCCUGGGUUCGAAUCCCAGCUCUAACGUGCUCAUACUGCAUAUGACCUUGGGCAAAGUGACUUAACUGUCUGUCAGAUAAAAAGACUAAUCCCAUCUACGUCAUAAAGUUACUGCAGGGUUUCUCAAUCACCCUCAGCACUGCUGAUAUGUAGGGCUGGACGGUUCUCUGUUUGAGGGAGUGGGCAGUCCUGUGCACUGAAGCAUCCCUAACCUCUACCUACAAGAUGCCAGUGGCCUUUCCCUUUCAAUUGUGACAACCAUAAAUGUCUCUAGACACUGCCGAAUGGUCCCCUGGAGAUGGGAGGAGGCAAAAUUCUCCCCUCCCAUUGAGCAUCAGUGGGUUACUGUGAAGAUUAUAUGCAUGAGUUAUUAUGUAAAAGGCACUUAGAACAGAGCUGGUACAUAAUAAAUGCUAUAUAAAGGCCUGCAGUUAUUAUCAGCAUUAUCUCUCCUGAGCCCUAAGGCUUACCUUACAGAAAAUAAAUAGUUUUGAUAAUAUGGGGGCUUGAGCAAGACAAGGGAGCAUUAUUAAGCCUAUAUCUGAUUCCACUCCGGAACAAGAAUCCAAGUCCCUAUUCUAAGAUCAUAGGUCAGCAAUGUCAGUAUUAAUUAUAGUCUGAUCCCUCCGGGGUUCCAUUGUGGGGCUCCCGGUAUCCUGUAGCACAUUUAACAAGAUCCCAUGCUAAUGGCCAGUUCAGCUGUCACGGGUGCUGCACACAUCCGUUCCACAUCCCUUCCCGAGUUCUCCAAAUGGUGCAUACUUCACAUCUCUGGCUUUCCAUGGAUCUAUGGCCCCUUGAAACAACUGGCUGCCCACAACAGUCACCCCAAAAAGGGGGCCAAUGAAAACAAAAAGGGAGAAUAAGGAAGAACAAAAAGACUGAGUUUCUUUAAAUUUCUGGCUCUCUGCAGCACAAGCAUUUCCAAUGAAAAAUAAAGAAUUCUUUCUUCUGUAUCUAUUUCAGCUGGCAUCCCGCUUUUGCCUUGUGAAUAGUGUCACCACAUCAUUAUUCUGUCCCUCAAGGUAAAACAAAAUGGGCAACUUAACCACCAGAAGUGUGCUUGUGUGGAGGAAGGGGCUCAUUUAAAAGCUUUUUCAAGUAA